UAAAUCUAUAAGCAAAAGUAAAAUAUAUAUGGAUAUAUAUCUUAGAAGAAGAUUUGUCAAGAAGAGAAGAAGAAAGAAGAGAAGAUUCCAACAAGAUAUAUAGAAUAUCGAUAUAUAUCUUAGAAGCGAAGAAAUUUGAUUGGAUCUCUGAAAUCACAUUGCAAUAUCUUCAUUAUCAAUCAAGGACCAUCUUGUGUGCUAGAAAUAUGAUGUACAAUGGGAAGAGCUCUUUACUUCCACCUAAAAGCCCCUUUCCUAGUAUGGCCCCAUCAUAUGUCGAUUAUGUCCCUAGUUCUGCUUUCAACCAAAAGGGCAUUCAGAAACCCAGAGAAGGAAAUUCACACCAUCAGCGUACUUCCUCUGAAAGCUGUAUUAUAGAGGAGCAACCGUCUUGGUUGGAUGAUCUUCUUAAUGAGCCAGAAACUCCUGUGCGCAGAGGCAGCCAUCGACGUUCAUCUAGUGACUCCUUUGCAUAUUUUGAUUCUGUUAACGCUGCAAACUUGGAUUACACAGCUCAAGUUGAUAACAAGUUCAGAAAUAUGCCUCCUAUCCCUUCCUGGGGGUCUCAAGACUUCGAUUAUUACAAAGAUGCUCGACAAGCUGCUUCUUUUGUCGACCAAAACUCCUCAAUCCGACGCAAGAAUAGGGAAAAUGAUGUAUCUUCAACUACAGUAUCACAUCUCCGCAGCCUUUCCUCUCCUGGGGAAGAUCUCCGUAUUCAGAGGUCUGGAUCACCAUGCCUCCUACAAGACGGAGAGAGGCCUAGAUCUGCAGGAAGUGACAAGCAAGAUGUAGCAGAAUCUGGCCCUCCUUAUCCAAAAGGGUCUGCAGAAAAAAAAGAUUCUUCUCAGAGUAAGAGUUCUUCAUCAGAAACUGACACAAAACGCGCGAAACAGCAAUUUGCUCAGCGGUCACGUGUCAGAAAGCUUCAAUAUAUAGCGGAAUUGGAAAGAAAUGUACAAGCUCUGCAGGCUGAAGGUUCUGAAGUUUCUGCUGAGCUUGAAUUCCUUAACCAGCAGAAUCUUAUCCUCAGCAUGGAGAAUAAAGCCCUAAAGCAGCGCUUAGAAAAUUUAGCUCAGGAACAGCUCAUAAAGUAUUUUGCCUUGUCAGAGGAAGUUUCUUCUGAGAGCAUCUAAUCCACCAUGUUCGUUGGAACACGAAAAAUGGGCAUCAUGUUAGUUGGUAAUGCAUCCAGCACACUGUUAAAUGUUAAUCAAGAUUAAUCUACCCUCCAAGGAUAAGUAUUGACUCUUCCAGUUAGUCAACUUUUUCUCUCACUUCUCUACGACUCCAUUCCGGAUAUUUUUGGAAUUGCUUUUGGCACCAAGGGGCAUUUUAAGAUAAGUGGUUGGCAGAACACUGGUUCCUCCCAGAAUAUUAGCCAAGUUGUGAAUGUCAGGGACCUCGUAAACGGGAUAUAGGAAACUCUUGUUCUAGUUAAUGUGGAGCCCAGAUAUAGCCUCAAAAAAGAAUGAAAAUCACCCUCAAAAAUUUAAUUUGUCCUCGGUUAGCUCUGCAGAAAACCAAAGUAUCAUCAGCGUAUUGUAAAUGAGCAAUUUCAAGGUUAUUGCCGGCCCUUGAAUCUACUCUAAAGCCUGUUAUCCAGCUAUUUGAUUGGGCGGUUUUCAUCAUAUCAUUUAAACUCUCCAUGGCAAUGAUGAAUAAAAAAGGGGACAAUGGGUCCCCUUGCCUUAGUCGUCUCUGAGAAGAGAAGAAUCCAGUAGGUGAGCCAUUAAAUAGGAUUGAGAACUUGAUGGUGCUGAUGCAAUAGCAUAUCCAAUUGGCCCAUUUUUCUCCAAACCCCAUUUUCAUCAUACUCCUGAAUAGGAAAAUCCAGUUCAUGUGGUCAAAAGCCUUUUGUAUAUCUAGUUUGCAAAGGAUACCAGGUUCUUCGUUUCUAAUUCUUGAGUCAACACAUUCAUUGGCUAUAAGAAUGGCAUCCAUGAUUUGUCUCCCUUAUAUAAAGGCCAUUUGUUACUCAUCCACCAGCUUGUGCAUCACUUUUUUGAGUCUCUCAGUCAACAAUUUUGAGAUGAUCUUGUAGAUGCUGCCUAUAAGACUAAUAGGCCUGAAAUCUUUCAAUUCAUUAGCUCCCACCUUCUUGGGGAGCAACGCAACAUAUGUAGCAUUGAAGCUUCUUUCAAAUAUGUCUCUUUCAUGGAAGUUUUGAAUAGUAGCAAUGACCUCAGUGUUCACUACUUCCCAACAGUGUUUGAAAAAGGCCAUUGUGAAACCAUCUGGGCCAGGUACUUUAUCACCAGCACACGCUUGGACACUGGACCAUAUCUCUUGCUCUUCAAAUGGACUUUGUAGCAUCAGAUUAUCUUCUGUGGAGAUGGUGGGACAAACUCUCAUGUUAUUAUGGGGUCUCCAAUCUUCUGUCUCUGCAUAAAGGUUCUGAUAAAAAGAGAUGAUCUCCUUUUUUAUAUCAGCCGGAUUCCUUAUGGAUUCACCAUCAAUUUCUAGCAAGUCAACAUUGUUGUAUCUUCUGCGUGCAUUAGCUGUUUUGUCAGAUAGUGGAACAUGAAGUUCUGGAAAGAGAAAGAGGAAGAUUACGAGCAUUGUAUCAGCAACAACAUCAACAGCCACAGCCACAGCAACAGAAGCCAUCUCACAG